rnacentral:rRNA from 1 species
UGUUAAUGAUUUAAGGUCUGACCUGCCCAAUGAUUUUUUUAAAUGGCCGCAGUAUAUUGACUGUGCAAAGGUAGCAUAAUCAUUAGUUUCUUAAUUAGAAGCUGGAAUGAAUGGUUUAAUGAAAAAUUUACUGUCUCAUUAUAAUUGUUUUAGAACUUUAUUUUUAAGUGAAAAAGCUUAAAUUUUUUAUAAAGACGAGAAGACCCUAUAGAGUUUAAUAUUUUAAUUUUUUGUAAAUUAAAAGUUAUUUAUUAUUUUGAAUUUUAUAAAAUAUUUUGUUGGGGUGAUAAAAAAAUUAAAUUAACUUUUUGUUAUUAUAUCACGGGUAAGUGAAUUGUUGAUCCUAUUUUUUAGAUUAAAAGAGAAAAUUACCUUAGGGAUAACAGCGUAAUUUUUUUGGAAAGUUCUUAUUGAUAAAAAAGUUUGCGACCUCGAUGUUGGAUUAAAAUUAAUUUUGGGUGUAGAAGCUUAAAAAUUAGGUCUGUUCGACCUUUAAAAUU